AGGACGAACGCUGGCGGCGUGCUUAACACAUGCAAGUCGAGCGGAAAGGCCCUUCGGGGUACUCGAGCGGCGAACGGGUGAGUAACACGUGAGUAAUCUGCCCCUAGCUCUGGGAUAGCUCCGGGAAACCGGGAUUAAUACCAGAUACGACCACUUUAGACAUCUUCUGUGGUGGAAAGAACUUCGGCUAGGGAUGAACUCGCGGCCUAUCAGCUUGUUGGUGAGGUAACGGCUCACCAAGGCGACGACGGGUAGCCGGCCUGAGAGGGCGACCGGCCACACUGGGACUGAGACACGGCCCAGACUCCUACGGGAGGCAGCAGUGGGGAAUAUUGCGCAAUGGGCGAAAGCCUGACGCAGCGACGCCGCGUGGGGGAUGAAGGCCUUCGGGUUGUAAACCCCUUUCAGCAGGACGAAGCGAAAGUGACGGUACCUGCAGAAGAGCGCCGGCUAACUACGCGCCAGCAGCCGC
rnacentral:rRNA from 1 species